CCAAAACGGGACGUCGAGUCGAGGUGGUGUAGGCUUAGUAGAUUGCCUCAGGGCAUUUAAGAUCCCGAUAUCCACCGGAACACGACCGAGAAAACCGUGCUGGAAACCGUACUAAAACCGACACAGGUAGGUGAGAUGAAUAUUCUAAGGCGCUCGAGAGAACUCUCGUGAAGGAACUCUGCAAUUUAAAUCCGUAACUUCGGGAAAAGGAUUGCCCACGCGAGUGGGUCGCAGUGAAAAGGUUCUGGCGACUGUUUACUAAAAACACAGGUCUGUGCGAAGGCGUAAGCCGCGGUAUACAGACUGACGCCUGCCCGGUGCUGGUAAGUUAAGGGAGAGGGUUAGCCCGUUAAACGGUGAAGCUCGCAACCGAAGCUCCAGUAAACGGCGGCCGUAACUAUGACGGUCCUAAGGUAGCGAAGUUCCUUGUCGGGUAAGUUCCGACCUGCAUGAAUGGCGUAACGACCGGAACACUGUCUCCACGAGAGACUCGGUGAAAUUGUAGUUGUCGUGAAGAUGCGACAUACCCGCAGCUAGACGGAAAGACCCCGUGAACCUUAACUGCAGCUUGGUAUUGGGUUUAGACCCAGCAUGCGUAGUGUAGGUGGGAGGCUAUGAACCGCGUAUUUCGGUACGCGGGGAGCCGACGAUGAAACACCACCCUUGCUGUGUUUGAAUUCUAACCCGUUGUUUGUAGCAACAGGGACCGUGCUAAGUGGGCAGUUUGAUUGGGGCGAUCUCCUCCCAAAAGGUAACGGAGGAGUGCAAAGGUACCCUCAGCCCGGUUGGCAAUCGGGCAUCGAGCGUAAAGGUAUAAGGGUGCUUGACUGCGAGUCCGAUGGGACGAGCAGGGACGAAAGUCGGCCUUAGUGAUCCGGUGGUUCCGGAUGGAAGGGCCAUCGCUCAACAGAUAAAAGGUACUCCGGGGAUAACAGGCUUAUCUCCUCUGAGCGUUCAUAGCGGCGAGGAGGUUUGGCACCUCGAUGUCGGCUCAUCACAUCCUGGGGGUGGAGAAGCUCCCAAGGGUUCGGCUGUUCGCCGAUGAAAGUGGUACGUGAGCUGGGUUUAGACCGUCGUGAGACAGGUCGGUCCCUAUCUGCUGUGGGCGGAGGAAACUUGCGGGGCUUUCUCCCUAGUACGAGAGGACUGGGAGGGACACACCUCUGAUGUUCCAGUUGUGGCGCUAGCCGCAGCGCUGGGUAGUCACGUGUGGACGGGAUAAACGCUGAAGGCAUAUAAGCGUGAAACUUCCCCCUAGAUCAGGUUUCCUGCGAAAGCGAAGGCUCCUCGUAGACCACGAGGUCGAUAGGCCGGGCGUGUAAGUGCAGUAAUGCACUCAGCUAACCGGUACUAACAGCCGAACGUUUGGCCG
rnacentral:rRNA from 1 species